rnacentral:lncRNA from 1 species
AGUAGCUGUGGAUUACGUGUCCAAAUGGGUAGAAGCCCUACCUUGUCGAUCAGCUGAUUCAAAACAUGCCAAGAGAAUGUUCCAUGAAGUAAUCUUUCCUCGCUUUGGUAUACCUCGGAUAGUUAUAAGCGAUGGAGGUUCCCACUUCAUCGACAAAAUCUUCCGGAAAUACCUAGCCGAUCAUGGAGUUCGACACAACAUCGCAACACCAUACCAUCCUCAGACUAGCGGUCAAGCCGAAACAUCUAACAAACAAAUCAAAAAUAUUUUACAAAAGACCGUAGAUGAGAUGGGUAAGGGGUGGAAGGACAAACUUCCUGAUGCACUUUGGGCAUAUAGAACUGCAUUCAAAACACCCAUAGGCAUGUCACCUUAUCAACUUGUAUAUGGAAAAACUUGUCACUUGCCUGUGGAAGUAGAGUUUAAGGCUCAUUGGGCACUCAAGAAAUGGAACAUGGAUCUCCAUCUCGCUAGCGAGAAUCGUCUGAUGCAACUAUCUGAGCUAGAAGAAUGGAGAGAGAAAGCCUACCACAAUUCAAGGAUCUAUAAAGAGAGAACAAAACGAUAGCAUGAUAAGAGAAUCAAGCACAAAGAGUUUAAGCCUGGAGAUAAGGUUCUACUAUUCAAUUCAAGAGUUAAGCUACGAAGUAAGUGGGAUGGACCAUAUAAGGUUAUUGACACUUCAACUCAUGGAGCCAUUACCAUCCAAGAUGACAUAGGUAACACUUUUAAGGUAAAUGGUCAACGCUUGAAAAUCUAUCUUGAGCCACAAAACAACCUUGUAAAGGAACUUGAUGUGAUUGAGUUCAUAGAAUUCUCAUAUUAAGCUCUAGACAAUUACCUAACCCUUAACUUGCUCCACAAGUUUUGUUGUCUAUUUGGGUUGUGCAGGAUUUUGAGGCUUAAGAAGAGUGAGACCAACCAUGCAGGCCACAAGAGUGAACGACUAUGUCAACAUCCAGCUUGGGGGAGGCACCCCCACGUGUAUCUAGAUAAGUAUUACUUUUCUUUCUUGGUUUUAUUUACUAGUAUUCAGAAAUAAAAAAAAUGCAUAACCAUGAAACUAAACAAAGUUUUUCUUUUGAGUAAUAUACAAUAGUUUUGUGUAAUUCUAAGUUUUAAAUAAAAAUAAAAAAAGUUUGAUUCAAGUCUAGGUAAUUGACAAACAUGAUAUGAGAAGGUCUGAGCUACUAUUUAACUUGUUCUAAGUUUUGCUAGAGUUCUGGAGAUUUUAUCUUUUGAAAAUCUAAAAAUUCAUAAAAAAAAUAAAUAUAUGAGAUCAUAAUACCCAGAGUCUUAUAAGAAAUAAAUAUUAAAACUGUGGGUACUUUCUUUGUUCAAGCCAUUGUUAAUUCUUGUAGUUUUGGUUGAGAGAAUUAUCAUGCUCCAAAGAUCAAGAUCUUUUUGUUUAAAAAUAUAAAAGAUUCACUCUUCCGAAGUAUUAUUGCGUUAGAGGCAUGGGACUAUGCAAAAAUUUGAUUCGAAAAAAAAAGAGUGAGACGAGAGGUAAAAAUGGACAAGUGUCCGAAGUAGAAUUAGGGGUACAAAGAUACCCACCUGAGUGGAAAAAAAUGGACAUGUGUCCGACAGUAGAAUUAGGGGUACUUGCUGCCCACUUAAAAAAAAGAGACUGAAAAAAAAGGAAAAAAAAGAAGAAAAAAAAUGAUAGCCCAUGGUCCCUCUAAUAAGCAAUAUGCCAGUAAGAGAUGACAAACUUCUCAAAAAGGUCAAAGGUCUUGAUCUAGGAGUAUGACAUUCCUCUCCCUUACUCCGAGCGUUGACAUAGCAAAAUGCAAAGUAAGUAUGCUAAAACUUUUAAAGCUCUACUUAUAUAUAUCUUUCGAGAAGAAGGCAAAUGCCUCGGUUUUAUUUUGCAGACUUAUAAAAAAAAACUCCAGAGCAAAGGUAAGACAGAAGAACUUGAGUCAUAGUGCUUGACUUGAUUGUUCUGUUUUUCAAUCACUUAAGACCUUAGUGAUAACUUAAAAACCCUGUAGUAAGAGGCAUAAAAGUAACCCCUGUUUUCUUGCUAAUUUUAGCUUUGCUCAGGGACGAGCAAAGGUUAAGCUUGGGGGAGCUUGUUGACGGUCCUUAAUGCUCACAUUUAACCGUUAACUAAUCAUGGAAAAGGAUCCAAAUGCAACCAACACCUAGACUUAGGGUUUUAUCUGACAGAAUUCCACGAGUUUUGGUGUUUGUCUAUUUUUGCAGGGGAUUAUCAGGAAAUAUGGAGGAAAGGCCCACACGUCGGGAUUACAUAGAGAUAUUAACAUGCCGCGCAAUUUUCUAUCAUCUAGAAGACUCCAGAAGCCACGGGAACGAACGGGAGGCCGAGCGAGCCCGGAAGCAGGGCGCCCGCCCUACCCCCCUGGGCGCCCGCCCUCCUCUGCUGGCCAAUCAGCACGAGUCUCGGGGAUUAUGCCCCACCGACUCUAAGGAUCGAGGAAAAUCACACGAUGAAGGUCGGUUUGAUCGGAUGGUGGAGAAUAACGUGGAAAUUCCUUUGGAGCUACUCUUCCUAGAUUUCUUGGGGGCUACUCUUCCUGGACUAUAUAAGCAGACCCCCACCAGCCCCUGGAGGCAUACCUCUUCUACAGAAUCAAAGCUAGGGUUUCAAUUCUUCAUCCAAGUAGAGAGGAUCCCUCUAGUUCUUCUAGUUCUACCUCUAGUUCAUCUAGAUCUAGUUCUAGUUCAUCUAGUUCUAGUUCUAGUUCCUCUAGUUCUAGUUCUAGUUAGUUCUAGUUGUAAUCUAGAAAAUAGGGAGAGAGAAGAGGAGAGCGGAGGAGGAGGAGCCGGAUCUGUCGGAUCUUCCUCAACAUUGUACUUUUGCAGCAACUGGUUCGUUCUUCAUCGUUCUCCAGGUUCUUCAAUUUAUAAUCCUGAGUUCUUUAAUUACUUUUAUUUACAUUCAAGUUAUUUAUUGGAUUCCCGCUUGCAUCAAGUGCUCUAAUCUUUGCAACAUUAGAGUAGUAAUUAAUAGAUUAGACGUGGUGUUUAGUCUUGCAAUUACCUGGAAUUGCACCCAAUCCUGCGGAUUGUUGUGCUAGCCUUAGGGUAGUGACAGCCCUAACGGUCGACGUAUUCCACCUCGUUCGGAUCGGUGUUUGUAGGACCGUAGUCAGAGCUUCCUAGCCCCCUUCUCAUCUCUUUCUGUGGUUAGUGUUUUGAUGUCCCGAAAUAGAUAAUCUUGAAGUAAUUCUUGAUUCUUAGAUCAACUAGAGAACUCUCAGGAAACUUCCUCUCUUCCCACCAAAAAUAAUUAUAUAGUUAUCCUUGGGCGAUCUUGGAUCUUAAUUAGUACACUCACGUUCCCUGUGGAAAAUCGAUACUCUGGAAUACUCCCGGGUGAAAGCUACAUCGGUAUCCGUGUGCUUGCGGAUUUUUCUGUUUGCGUUUAAAAUACCCAACAGUAUGUAUCCCCUCAAAAGAGCAAAAGUAGAAUUAGACGUUCACCAUUAUUAUCACCAUCAUCACCAUACACCAUUCAUUCGCCACACAUGCACAUCUUGAUUUGACUUAUUGACUUGUUCUUCUAGAUCCAUGGUUUGAUUAUGCAAUAAAUGUCUUGUAAGUAUGUAUUAGCUGUCUCCCACCUAAGAGCUCCAGAUAUCAAAACCUUAUUAGGGUAGGGUGAGAGAGAAGGCAAUGCCACUAUGCCUCAUACCAAAAAUACCAUAUACUUUGAGAGAAGGCAUACACCAUUACUGCCUUGGUAAGGAUCCAGAAAUACCACAAAAGUGAGACUAGAGAGAGUCAUACAAGGAAUCUCUGAGUUUUAUUUGAAAAAUCUGCAAAAACUCCAGAGCUAUAGUUAAUCGAAGAACAAGAGACAUGGCGCUUGACUAGACCGUUCUAUCUUUUAACUGCUCAAGACACAAGUGACGGUUGCAAACCCCAUGAUGGAAGGUAAAAUGAGUAAGUUUAAAUCUUAACAGUUUACCCUAACCAAGAGAUGAGAUCUUGUUUGAACGCAUGUGUACCUUUAAGGCAUGAAACCACUGCAGAAACUCUUGAGUUCAUCUUUGCUCAUGGACGAGCCAAGGUUAAGCUUGGGGGAGCUUGUUGACGGUCCUUAAUGCUCACAUUUAACCAUCAACUAAUCAUGGAAAAGGACCUAUAUGCAACCAACAUCCAGACUUAGGGUUUUAUCUGACAGAAUUCCACGAGUUUUGGUGUUUGUCUAUUUCUGCAGGGGGUUAUCUGGAAAUACGGAAGAAAGGCCCACACGUCGGGUUUACAUAAAGAUAUUAACGUGCCGCGCAAUUUUCUAUCAUCUAGAAGACUCCAGAAGCCACAGGAACGAACGGGAAGCCGAGAGGGCUCAGGGACAGGGCACCCGCCCUACUCCCUUGGGCGCUCGCCCACCUUCAGUGUCCAAUUCGGACCCGUUUUGCGGAUCACGCUCCACCGACCUAAAGGAUCAAGGAAAACCGUGCGAUUAAUGUCGGUUUGAUCCGACGGCCAAGAUUCAUCUGAAAAGACUAUAUAAGCAACGCCCCUUGGCCCCUGCAGAUCAUACCUCUUCUACAGAAUCAAAGUUAGGGUUUCAAUUCUUCAUCCAAGUAGAGAGGAUACCUCUAGUUCAUCUAGUUCUAGUUCAUCUAGUUCUAGUUCCUCUAGUUCUAGUUCUAGUUCGUUCUAGUUGUAAUCUAGAAAAUAGGGAGAGAGAAGAGGAGAGCGGAGGAGGAGCCGGAUCUGUCGGAUCUUCCUCAACUUUAUACUUUUGCUGCAACUGGUUCGUUCUUCAUCGUUCUCCAAGUUCUUCAA